UCAACGGAGAGUUUGAUCCUGGCUCAGGAUGAACGCUGGCGGCGUGCUUAACACAUGCAAGUCGAACGAUUAAAGCUCUCUUCGGAGAGUGUAUAGAGUGGCGAACGGGUGAGUAACACGUGGGUAACCUGCCCCUCACACUGGGAUAACUCAGGGAAACUUGAGCUAAUACCGGAUACUUCCAUUGGGUCGCAUGGCCUAGUGGGGAAAGCUCCGGCGGUGAGGGAUGGGCCCGCGGCCCAUUAGCUUGUUGGUGAGGUAACGGCUCACCAAGGCUUCGAUGGGUAGCCGAGCUGAGAGGCUGAUCGGCCACACUGGGACUGAGACACGGCCCAGACUCCUACGGGAGGCAGCAGUGGGGAAUCUUGCGCAAUGGGCGAAAGCCUGACGCAGCAACGCCGCGUGCGGGAUGAAGGCCUUCGGGUUGUAAACCGCUUUCAGCAGGGACGAAACUGACUGUACCUGCAGAAGAAGCCCCGGCUAACUACGUGCCAGCAGCCGCGGUAAUACGUAGGGGGCAAGCGUUAUCCGGAUUUAUUGGGCGUAAAGAGCGCGUAGGCGGUUUAUCAAGUCAGAUGUGAAAGCCCUGGGCUCAACCUGGGAAGUGCAUUUGAAACUGUUUGGCUAGAGUAGGGGAGAGGAAAGUGGAAUUCCUGGUGUAGAGGUGAAAUUCGUAGAUAUCAGGAGGAACACCGGUGGCGAAGGCGACUUUCUGGCCCUAUACUGACGCUGAGACGCGAGAGCGUGGGUAGCAAACAGGAUUAGAUACCCUGGUAGUCCACGCCGUAAACGAUGUUCACUAGGUGUUGGGGGUAUUGACCCCCUCAGUGCCGCAGCUAACGCAUUAAGUGAACCGCCUGGGGAGUACGGUCGCAAGACUAAAACUCAAAGGAAUUGACGGGGGCCCGCACAAGCGGUGGAGCAUGUGGUUUAAUUCGA
rnacentral:rRNA from 1 species